ensembl:lncRNA
AUGUCUGAGGGCGAGCGGCCAUUCGAAAACGCACAGGACGACGGCGAUGAUGACGGAGAUGAUGUGCUUAGCAUGGAGGAGGAGCUGUGCUUAAGGCUCGACACUAUGAGGGACUUUUUCCUCCAGCAGCUGAAGGCCAUAAAAGACUCGCUGUUUUCAUCUCAGACCAAGGUGCACAAGGAUUUAAAAGCCUUCAAGGAGUCCAUCUUGACGGAGGAGCUGAAUUUCUACAGAGAGAGGCUAGAGGCAAAGGUAACAUCUGACUUCCAGCUGCUGGAGGAAAACUGCAAUUCUGCUAAACGUGGUGUUGUUGAAAUGGUGAAGGCCGUUGGGGAAUCUGUGACCAAGAGGAUGGACGCGGUGGACAGGAUACGCGACACGCUGGCUUCGAGGAUCACUGCAAUGGAAGCGGAGGUCCACAACACGGUGCCUUCUUUUCAAGCGAGCACGCCGCCACGCCGUGCUCAUGGCCUUUUGAGCAGAGCUGAAGCACUUUCCUCCACCCAGGUGACAGAUGUGGGACAAGACACGGAGAUCUUCCUGGACCUUCAGAGUGUGGCUUCUUCAUCUCCGAUCAGCCCUGGUCAGCGUGCGGUGUUGACCACAACAACGUCCUUUGAAUCCAGCUCUGACCAGAACCCAGAACGAGAUGAAGCACUUUCCUCCACCCAGGUUUCGGAUGUGGGACGCGACAUGGAGAUCUCCCUGGACCUUCAGAGCGCGGCCUCUCCGUCUCAGAUCGGCCCGAGUCAGCUUGCGGUGUUGACCACAACAACGUCCUUUGAAUCCAGCUCUGACCAGAACCCAGAACGAGAUGAAGCACUUUCCUCCACCCAGGUUUCGGAUGUGGGACGCGACAUGGAGAUCUCCCUGGACCUUCAGAGCGCGGCCUCUCCGUCUCAGAUCGGCCCGAGUCAGCUUGCGGUGUUGACCACAACAACGUCCUUUGAAUCCAGCUCUGACCAGAACCCAGAACGAGAUGAAGCACUUUCCUCCACCCAGGUUUCGGAUGUGGGACGCGACAUGGAGAUCUCCCUGGACCUUCAGAGCGCGGCCUCUCCGUCUCAGAUCGGCCCGAGUCAGCUUGCGGUGUUGACCACAACAACGUCCUUUGAAUCCAGCUCUGACCAGAACCCAGAACGAGAUGAAGCACUUUCCUCCACCCAGGUUUCGGAUGUGGGACGCGACAUGGAGAUCUCCCUGGACCUUCAGAGCGCGGCCUCUCCGUCUCAGAUCGGCCCGAGUCAGCUUGCGGUGUUGACCACAACAACGUCCUUUGAAUCCAGCUCUGACCAGAACCCAGAACGAGAUGAAGCACUUUCCUCCACCCAGGUUUCGGAUGUGGGACGCGACAUGGAGAUCUCCCUGGACCUUCAGAGCGCGGCCUCUCCGUCUCAGAUCGGCCCGAGUCAGCUUGCGGUGUUGACCACAACAACGUCCUUUGAAUCCAGCUCUGACCAGAACCCAGAACGAGAUGAAGCACUUUCCUCCACCCAGGUUUCGGAUGUGGGACGCGACAUGGAGAUCUCCCUGGACCUUCAGAGUUUACCUCUCACCCAGACCGGUUCCUCGGGACUUCAGAGACAGCCCCCCGCUAUGCACAAGCGCAAGCUGUCCCAGUCUCCAGACGAUCUGGAACCUGAACUUUCUGCCAAAAUAAGGCCCUACAUGAGACUGAGGCACACACGACAGGAGAAACUUACAGGAUUCCAGGCUGCAUUCUUCAAUCUCCAAAUGGACAGGCUGAACAUUACUGACACCAAGAGCCUCGCAGACAAGGCAGAAGUCAUAAAAGGAGCUGGUGAGAGACCAAGACCAAGAAUCAAGGAUCUUCAGGCGUACCUCGAAGAGAGAAUCAAGACUACUUUGAAGAGGAGAAGUAGUGAGCUUCUUGUGGAGAAAAUAAAAAAAUAAAUAAACGAACGUUACUAAAGCUAGUGUCCGAGCGUCAAUAACACGUAACACCCUGACAUUUUAGUACUGAAGUUUUCAUUUAUGAGUACAUUUACAUAAUAUACAUAAUUUUUG